rnacentral:lncRNA from 1 species
UGGGGCCUUGAAUAGAAAAGCCACAAGCUCCAAUGACAGGAAAUGGUGGGGACCCCCGAUCUGCCAGCAUAAAAUCCCAGAGCAUUGGCAAGUGCCAGCUGAGCUGCCAGAGCCAAUCACCGAGGCCCCUUUCUGGCCCCAUUUCCUACAGCCGAGAUCUGUUCUCUCCAGGCACAGCCUGGGCAGCCAUGGAGGGAAAGGCCUCAUGCUCCCCUGCCUGAAGGGUUCCCUAGCCCAGAUCUCAGGGCCCAGGAUUGUGGGGGAGGAUAUGGCCCCAGCUCCCGACCCCAGGGGCCUGUGCUGGGCUGGGAUUGGAGUUUGACUGAGGGUCUGAUGACCUUGAAUAGCCUCAGUCUGAGGACAUUUCCCCAGGGUCAGGUCCACACACACGGUGACCUCCUUCAAUUCUCAUUCCAAUCUCAAAAAUCAGGAUUGCUAUCUCCCCUUCACAGAUGAAGAAACUGAAGCUCAGAGAGGUCAAGUUAUUUGCUUAAGGUCACACAGCCAGGGAGAGAUGGAGACCAGAUUUUACUCCACGACCACCUGUGUCUGAAGCCCAAGCUCUAAUCAGUAUUUCUCAAACAUUUCUAGCUAAAGUCCAUCUGCUCAAUUCUCCACACUUUCCCAAGCUGGGAGAUGGGGGAGUAAGGAGGCAGCUUUGAUAUAUCCUGGGGGAAGCUGUCUCCAACCCUCAGGAGGUAUCCCUGCUGUCACCUCUGCACUCACCUGUAGAAGGUAUACACAACCUGAGGCCCUGGGUAACUCUAGACUGAUACCUCCUCAUGAAAUUUCUGCAGACGUCGCGCCAUCGUGACCUCCCCGUCCUACACACCCGGGUCGCAGCAUUGGAAACACUUCUCUGCAGCAGCAGCACCACAGUGGACAUGGUUAUAGGGUGAGUCCUGCCCAGCUCUGCCACCCUGCAGGUUCCAGCAGCCCUAGCAAUGGGAGUACUGGGUGCGAGGAGCUGGCACCUGGUAGGGCUCCUGAGACAAGGACAGUUAGCCCUGCUGGGGUCUCAGCGCCUUGUGCACCUGUCCCCUGCCUUCUGUGUGGAGAAUGGUGCCCAUGGCUGCCAGGCACACAUUAAAUGCUCUGCCAUGUAGCUACCUGGGUCCAGGACCUGGCUGGGGGCUCCAGAUAGAGGGGGUGCAUAGAGAAGACUGGUGGGGUGGGAGGUGUGGUCAGAGCUUGGAGUCUUGGCUCAUUUGGUUUUAAAGUCUCUUCUAUGCCAUCCCAGGGGAGGAGGAUGAAUCUGGGUAUCCAGGGCUAAGUGCGAGCCUGCAGUGCCAGGAUGCUGAGUAGUUUGGGGCAGCAGAGGAGAGGGAAGGAGGGAGAGUGAAACAAUAAUUCUUGGUAGUAACACAGUCAUUCGUUAAGCAUUUACUCAGUGCUGGACGUGGAGCUAAGUACAUCCCAGCCCUCAGCUCUUUUAAAAAGCUUCAGCAGCCAGGUGCAGUGGCUCAUGCCUGUAAUCCCACACUUUGGGAG